rnacentral:rRNA from 1 species
CGUUACUCGUGACAACUGUUAGCCGACAAAGUUGGGCUUGCCCCGGGGUCCAAGCCGCGAACGGGUGAGUAACACGUGGGUAACCUACCCCGAUGACCGGGACAACCCGACGAAACUCGAGCUAAUACCGGAUGUGCUCCUUGACCAUGAGGUCAAGGCGUAAAGAUAGCUUCGGCCUUCGCAUCGGGACGGGCCCGCGGCCCAUUAGCUUGUUGGUGGGGUAACGGCCUACCAAGGCGACGAUGGGUAGCUGGUCUGAGAGGACGAUCAGCCACACUGGGACUGAGACACGGCCCAGACUCCUACGGGAGGCAGCAGUGGGGAAUCUUGCGCAAUGCGCGAAAGCGUGACGCAGCAACGCCGCGUGGGGGAAGACGGCCUUCGGGUUGUAAACCCCUUUCAGUUGGGACGAAGCUUCGCCGGUGAAUAGCCGGCUGGAGUGACGGUACCUUCACAAGAAGCCCCGGCUAACUACGUGCCAGCAGCCGCGGUAAUACGUAGGGGGCUAGCGUUUGUCCGGAAUUAUUGGGCGUAAAGGGCUUGUAGGCGGUUUGUCACGUUCCGAAAGUGGAAACUCCAGGGCUUAACCU